CUGAAAGAUGGAAAGGUUUUGAGCCCCUGACACCCUUUGGGCGGCCCCCAAACCAAACAGACAGUGCACGGGCAGAAGAAUGUGUGUGUAUGGACAGCCUCUGCUUCAGGAUACACACAUACAACUACUCCAGAACCGUCCAGAGACAGAGAGACAGACAGACAGAGAGACAGACAGACCUCCCUUGUGUCUUGGACCACCGUUCAGGCAAUAUAGAACUUGAUGAUUCCAAGCAAUGUUUAUUUCUAGUGACACUGAAAUGUGUGUGUGUGUUUGUGUGUGUGUGUGUGUGUGUGUGUGUGUGUGUGUGUGUGUGUGUGUGUGUGUGUGUGUGUGUGUGUGUGUGUUUCCAAGACAGUGAGUGUGUGAGAGAAAGAGAGAAGAAUGUGAGCUCGUAGCUGUACAAAUAAGAGAGAGCUUUGUGUAUUGUGUGUGUGUGUGUGUGUGUGUGUGUGUGUGUGUGUGUGUGUGUGUGUGUGUGUGUGUGUGUGUGUGUGGUCUUUUCAGAAGCACUCGUGAAAGUGACUAAGAGUAACAGUAGAAACUCGAGCCCUGGGAGCUGUGGGAGAACGGCGCCUCAUCUUGACCGUACCUCGUGUGCUCUCGUGUGUCGACCGCACCUAAAUAUUUAAUGAACUGAUCCCCAGGACCCUGCUGGUCACUCCUCUCACAGAGGAGCAGUCUCCACCACAGUCCACCGUGUCCCUCCCUGUCUGCCUGCCCACCCACCAGCUCAAGGGGUUUUACCUGGGAGUCCAAGCCGAAGAUAUAGUCAUUAUUUGUAAUUAUUUAUCCUGAAAGAUUUGUUUUUUUCUCUUCUGUUUUUCAAGAUGUUCAUUUUUUAUGAGAAGGGAUGUGUAUUUAUUUUGGAGCAGCUUGAAGUUGUACAAGCCAACACUGGAAUGUGUGUGUGUGUGUGUGUCUAUGUAUGUGUGUAUGUGUGUGUGUGCGCGUCUGCGCGCGCGUGUGUGUGUAUAUAUGUAUGUGUGUGUGUGGGUAUGAGUGUGUAGUUAUGCUAGUCUCAAGAGUGGAGGUGGACUUGCGUUGUUCUCUUCCCCAUCGGAAGCCUCCCACACACUGUUGACAUGGCAACAUGAGACAAGGUAACGUGCUCCGGAACCUUAGCAUUUAUUUAUUUAGUUCUCGCCGGGAUGAGUUCUCAAAUGACGUCACCGUCUCUUUCAUCUCUACUGCUGUAAUCAAAAGCGCUGGACGUUGUAUCGGUUUUUAAAAACAUUUGUUCGCUUAUGAAUGAUCCCGGUUUUGUGAAAGACAGGCGGUGCAACCGUUCAUGCAGGACAAUCAAGAAGGAUCUAGUGUCACUUAGCCGCAUGAUGACACAGAAAACAUUACGCUGUCGAUUUAACAAUAUUUAUUUGAUGAUUUAACAAGAAUACGAUUGGUCUAUGUCAUGUAUUUGCAACUUGAAGGUGAUUUCUUUUAUUUUUAAUUGGGACUCAAGUAUGGUUGAGGAAGAAUGAGUUUAGUUAAAGUAUUUUGCACUUAGAGCAAUACUGCACACGGCACGCUGUCUUCAUUAGCACAAAUCACAAGCACAAAUCCUACAUACAGACACCAAAUAAACACUAAACGUCAUUAGCUGUAUAGACAUACUGCAUUCCAACGCACACGACAUAACAUAACAUACCGUACACUUAGUGAAACGUCGUGAGAACACAUGGAAGCACAAACGUUCCAAGGCUAUUCUUUGUUGUUUGUGAGGAAAGAAAGUAUGUGAGUGAGUGGCUGUACGAAUAAGAGAGAGCUUUGUGUAAUGUGUGUGUGUGUGUGUGUGUGUGUGUGUGUGUGUGUGUGUGUGUCUGCUCUACAGAUCUCACAUUGUCGGUGAAACCAACCACGAAUCUAUAGAAUUUUCUGGUUAAAGAACUCUAUAAUUUUUUUGGUUAGUAAAAAUGAAAUGCUGCUGCUGUUAUUUUCGCUGUUGUGAGUGCGUGAAGGAUUUAAGGACUGAGCUUCAAAUACAGAAGAUCAUCCACAGUGGAACUCUGUGUCUGGACCUAGAACUCGAACAGAAUCCAACUCUCCUUGGACUGGUGAAUCCUUUCAAAUGACAAGCCUUAGGCCUGUGUGAGGAUGUCAGUGAUUUUUUAGUAUUAAAAGGAAAAACUGUAUGCCUGUUUGGAAUCAAAAGUGCUCUUUACAUGUAAAUAUUUAUAUAUAGUAUACUGCUGUAUGUGCUUUUUCUGUUAGCAGUUGAUUUGCUUGGAGUUAUUUUGUUUUGUUUUGUUUGUUUGUUGUUAUUGUUUGUUCUUAUUGUUUUCAAGACUGUUAAAAACACACAGACCCGUUAUCUUAUGUGUUUAAUUAGUAUUUUAGGUCUGAUAGAAUAAGUACAGUCUUGAAAUAGCGGUACAAUCUUUGAAUCUUCAUCUGUUUGUUCAUUUUUGUUACUUUUAGCAUUCUGUUUUUUUUCUUUUUCUUUUGACAUUCUAGAUAGCAGUUAUUUAAAUAAAACAAUCACAGAAUGGUGUCCUGUAUGACGUGUAAAGUCUUGUGUGUUGUCUGCUAUCAGAAUGAAUGAAGCAAUUCUGUGACUCAGGAGUCUGUUUUGUGCUCAGACAGACAGACAGACAAUGUGCUUAGAAAAACAGACAGACAAUGAAAGACAGACAGACAGACAAUGAAAGAGAGACAGACAGACAAUGAAAGAGAGACAGAGACAAUGAACGACAGACAGAGAGUGAGAUGA
ensembl:lncRNA